GAUUGACCUCGGAUCAGGUAGGGAUACCCGCUGAACUUAAGCNUAUCAU
rnacentral:rRNA from 1 species